AUAAUGAUACUUCAGCUCGGCUUAGGUGUGAUGCCAGAGGAGUUGCUCGGUUGUAAACGGAGAGGUUGAAAUACCUAUGA
rnacentral:ncRNA from 1 species